rnacentral:rRNA from 1 species
CACGUAGGGGGCGAGCGUUGUCCGGAUUUAUUGGGCGUAAAGAGCUCGUAGGCGGCUCAGUAAGUCGGGUGUGAAAACUCCAGGCUCAACCUGGAGACGCCACCUGAUACUGCUGUGGCUAGAGUCCGGUAGGGGAGCAUGGAAUUCCUGGUGUAGCGGUGAAAUGCGCAGAUAUCAGGAGGAACACCAGUGGCGAAAGGCGGGUGCUCUGGGCCGGAACUGACGCUGAGGAGCGAAAGCUGGGGAGCAAACAGG